AUCCGAUCCUCAACCCAUCCACACUAAUGUGCACUGCUUUCUUCACCUACAAAUCCAAGAAACCCCAGAAUAUAUUUAUAUAUAUAUCUUAACCAUUAAGCUAGGCUUUAAUUCUUUCUCCGACGACAAGAAAAAGAAAAGAGAAAAAAUCGUCAUCUUUUCUUGGAAGUCUAUAUAAAGAGGACUAGUAUAUGCAUAUGUUUAGUUCAUUUCCAUUAACUACAUUGCAAGCUUAGCCAAACAAGUCGUUUGUCAAGGAAGAAAGAGAAAGAGAGCUAGCGAUGCCUCCGCCACCGGGGCCUUAUGGCCCUCCAGGACCAUUUGGUUGCUUUCAUGUUCUCUGUGGGGGUAUAUGCCGCCUUGCAUCUUCUUGUUUAUAUGUGCUGUGCUGCUGCUGCCUCCUAGAGAGCUGCUGUGGACCACUGUUUGGGCCACCAGGCCCACCCGGCCCACCUGGUCCUUUUGGGCCCCCCCGCUUCUGAUCAUCAGCUAACUUCCAAACAUGUGGUGUAAUAUUUAUUUUUAUAAUUGCUAGUCGUCAUCUUCAAUUCCUGCAUUAAUCUCAUGGGUGGUGUUUGGGAAUGCAUGUGAUGGGGAAUAACAAUGAAAAUGGGCAACUUGUUACGGAACCAA